UUGUUAUUAGUCCGUGUUUCCGCAAAUGUGGUCGAGGUAACAUCAGCUAAUCGACAUGCUAGCUAACUAAUGGGGGUUGCGAAACAUUGAAAUUGGCUUGAUCAACUGACAAAGGCAUUUUAGUAUGCACCGAAGACGGGUAUUAGGAUUACGCCACCUGUUGUGCUCUUUUAUGACAACCUAUAGCUAACGUUAUUGAUUGUUGUUGGUUAACUAACUUUGGAAGCUGCUAGCUAUGUAUUGUUACAGCUGUUAAGUCUUUGUUGAAUUAAAUUAGAAUUAGAGUAAGUCUCCAUACGGAGGGAGAUCAUGGCGACUCGUAAACAGAAAAAGAUGAUAAGAUACGUGGAAGAUAGCAGUUUAAUGAAGCUGAAGUCCUACUUCCGGAAACACUCCGACCUCGACGUCAACUUCUCCCAGGGUAAAAAGCGCAGGACUCCCCUGCAUCUGGUCUGCUCGCUCCGUGAUGACGCCAUCCUUCGGCUUUUGUUGAAGUAUGGAGCCAACAUCCUUCAGAAAGACAAGAAAGGGGACACGCCCCUACCCAUUGCUGCUAACAAGGCUCUGAAACAUGGCAAAAGAGUUUAGGAUGACCUCGUCUUGCCCCUUCAAAAGAGUUGCCCAGAUGCCAUGGGUGCACCAAAUAAUGCAGGAAUUACACCUCGGGACCUGCUGCAAUGGAUGAAAUUUGAGAAGACUGCACCUAGGGAAAAGUCUUCAAAAGGGACAGACGCUGAGAAAGUGGCAAGAGAAGCUCAUUGGGGAAUGCCAGGAUUUUUGAAACAUUUGGACAAUAUGAUGGUAAUAUUUCACUCUUGAAUAAUUUGAUUUAAAUAAUUGUACAUCGUCAUAUUUAUGUUUUUUUUUUUCAGCAGAUGAUUUAUUUGCGGAAGAUACCAAUGAGGAGGACUUUCAAGACUGGGCAGAUAGAAUUAGACAGGAGUAUGUCACUAAACAGCAUGCAGAGGCUCAAAGACUGGCAUCCUCAGGUUUUCAUGGGAAGAGGAAGAAAGAGGUGGAUGAGGAGGAUCGGGCUAACAGAGAGCUGCAUGAGAGGCUACAGAGGGAGCAUGAAGAGUACCUGGCGCGUGCCGCACGGAAAGAGGAGGAGACGCGUCAGGGGAAGAAGCGGCGCUACGAGGAGCGAUGUGCAGAUACCUUCAACACUGACACUGCAGCAGCGGCCACCACAAAACUGAGUUAUCGGGACAUCCCCUGGCCGGCACCAAAGGGCUCAGUGGAGGAGAUGGUGGAGGUGAUUGCAUGGUGCAGGUAGGAAAGACAUGCCAGUGUUCUGUAAACUCCUCAGGCGCCAGCAGACCGUUUGGCACCCGGAUAGGUUUGCCCAGCGCUGUGGGACCCGGCUGGAGGAGGGAGACAAGCAGAGGAUCCUGGAAACUGUCACUGCUCUCUCACAGGAGCUCAAUAGACUGUCACCUGAGGCUCUGAGCCAAUGUCAGACUGGAAAGGACCUUAUGAGACGUUGAACAGUCUGUCGUUUAGCAACUCACGGUCCUGUACAUGCAGGGCAGUGGUUGUUUCCAGUGGUGGU